UAAGUGAACGGUCCCUUUAACUUAAUAUCUAAUCCACAAUUGAUCAAAGCUUUGUAUGGUACUGUUGUGAAUCGGGGAUUACCAUCCUUGCAUGAAAGAUCACUUUAAAUCUCAACCUUUAGUUGUAAAAGCACACUCAGUUUCAAAUACAUUACAUUUAAGGAAAACUUUAUGAAUUAUCAGCUGGAAGAUCCAGUACUACCUUGAUUCAGUUUCUUCGAGAGUCUGGAUUAACUGGAACCAAACUAAGCUGUGGGGAGGGAAACUGUGGAGCAUGUACUGUGCUUUUAACCAGACCUUCCAACAAUGGAGAAGAAUUUAACCGGUUCACUGUUAAUGCUUGCACUACACCCAUUGGAACCUUGCAUGGGACCGAAGUCACUACUGUUGAAGGAUUAGGUUCAACUCAAACCUGCCUUCACCCUGUGCAGGAGCGUCUAUAUUCCUGUCAUGGAUCUCAAUGUGGGUUCUGUUCUCCUGGUAUGGUUAUGUCAAUGGCUGGAGUACUGUGUAAGAAUAGUACCCCUGAUAUAGAGGAUAUUGUUACGGGGCUUCAGGGAAACUUAUGUCGUUGCACUGGGUACAGACCAAUUCUAGAAGCCUUCUCAACCUUUUCCCCUGAGGCCAUGGGAAAGAAUCCGCAGAAGUUUGAUGCUACA